rnacentral:rRNA from 1 species
UACGUAGGGCGCGAGCGUUGUCCGGAAUUAUUGGGCGUAAAGAGCUCGUAGGCGGCUUGUCACGUCGGGUGUGAAAGCCCGGGGCUUAACCCCGGGUCUGCAGUCGAUACGGGCAGGCUAGAGUUCGGUAGGGGAGAUCGGAAUUCCUGGUGUAGCGGUGAAAUGCGGAGAUCUCAGGAGGAACACCGGUGGCGAAGGCGGAUCUCUGGGCCGAUACUGACGCUGAGGAGCGAAAGCGUGGGGAGCGAACAGG